rnacentral:rRNA from 1 species
CCUACGGGAGGCAGCAGUGGGGAAUAUUGCACACUGGGGGAAACCCUGAUGCAGCGACGCCGCGUGAGCGAUGAAGUAUUUCGGUAUGUAAAGCUCUAUCAGCAGGGAAGAAAAUGACGGUACCUGACUAAGAAGCCCCGGCUAACUACGGGCCAGCAGCAGCGGUAAUACGUAGGGGGCAAGCGUUAUCCGGAUUUACUGGGUGUAACGGGAGCGUAGACGGCGGUGCAAGCCAGAUGUGAAAGGCUGGGGCUCAACCCCGGGACUGCAUUUGGAACUGUGCUGCUAGAGUGUCGGAGAGGCAGGCGGAAUUCCUAGUGUAGCGGUGAAAUGCGUAGAUAUUAGGAGGAACACCAGUGGCGAAGGCGGCCUGCUGGACGAUGACUGACGUUGAGGCUCGAAAGCGUGGGGAGCAAACAGGAUUAGAUACCCCGGUAGUC